CGACCCUCCGCUAAAAACGUGGAACCGGCAGCUUAAACAUGAUCCUGAGGUACCAGUGAUCAAGUCCCAUUCUUCUUCCCGGAUCUGCCUUAUUCAUACUGACGUCCUACCUCUGGAUGGAGUUUUUUUCAAUUUGAGACCAUCCCGUGCAUCUAAAGAUGGUUCCACAUGAACAGUCUAAAGAUCCAUGAGGUCCAGAAGGAACUCCAUCUCCUCCAAGAUAAAAUUGGAUCCUGUACUAUCUUCUAUAUGAGGAUCUAAAAAUGCAAGAAUUGCCUUAUGCACUCCACGAAGCCUCCUUCAGCUCCAUGUUUCCAAUCCUUCUCCAUACUCUUCUCGUUUUAUAUCCACCUCAUACAUGCUUCCAUUUCUGUGUAACUAGCCGGUUUUGCUAGUUGCUAGUUACAUUGCAAAAUUGCUUUAGCAGUUUAACAGCUGUGUUAGCAUGUUAAUAUUUUAUCAUGCUUAAAAUUGAGCACUUUCAGAAUUAGCUGUUUCAUUUCAACUGCUUCUUGGAGACUUCUGCAAAAAAAUAAAAUCCAUCAUUUUGUCCACACUGGACACUCCUCU